AAGUAAAAGUCGUAACAAGGUCUCCGUAGGUGAACCUGCGGAGGGAUCAUUACACAAAUAUGAAGGCGGGCUGGAAUCUCUCGGGGUUACAGCCUUGCUGAAUUAUUCACCCUUGUCUUUUGCGUACUUCUUGUUUCCUUGGUGGGUUCGCCCACCACUAGGACAAACAUAAACCUUUUGUAAUUGCAAUCAGCGUCAGUAACAAAUUAAUAAUUACAACUUUCAACAACGGAUCUCUUGGUCUGGCAUCGAUGAAGAACGCAGCGAAAUGCGAUAAGUAGUGUGAAUUGCAGAAUUCAGUGAAUCAUCGAAUCUUUGAACGCACAUUCGCCCUUUGGUAUUCCAAAGGGCAUGCCUGUUCGAGCGUCAUUUGUACCCUCAAGCUUUGCUUGGUGUUGGGCGUCUUGUCUCUAGCUUUGCUGGAGACUCGCCUUAAAGUAAUUGGCAGCCGGCCUACUGGUUUCGGAGCGCAGCACAAGUCGCACUCUCUAUCAGCAAAGGUCUAGCAUCCAUUAAGCCUUUUUUCAACUUUUGACCUCGGAUCAGGUAGGGAUACCCGCUGAACUUAAGCAUA
rnacentral:rRNA from 1 species